UUAAGAAAUAUUUACUCCUGAUACAGCUGUUAAUGAGAAUGAUGUUGAUGAUAACACCUAGCAACUAUUAGUAAAGAUGACCUAAUGGUUGCCUAAUGCCCAGCAAACCUGACUUUUAUUAUUAUUAUUAUUAUUUAUUUUUUAUUUUUUUUUUUUGUCUUUUUGCUAUUUCUUGGGCCGCUCCCGCGGCAUAUGGAGGGUCCCAGGCUAGGGGUCGAAUCNACGCCGGAUCGUUAACCCACUGAGCAAGGGCAGGGACCGAACCCGCAACCUCAUGGUUCCUAGUCGGAUUCGUUAACCACUGCGCCACGACGGGAACUCCAAACCUGACUUUUAAAUUCGAACACACCCCUGAGCCCUGGACGUUCCCCUCUUGCCAUUAUGACAUGUGGGGUGAAGGUGGGAGGAGGCCUCCGUCUGGCAGAGGCCCCUUUAAAAAUGUACCCGGGUUCCUCCUCUGCCAACCAAGUUCUAAAAAUAUUACUCCAGCAAAAGCUGAAAUAUUUGCAGAGAAAACUGAAUUUCCUGCUACCCUCACCCCCUCCACUCAAAUGGGCCUGCUGCCAUCCUUCUCCCUCAACUGUGGGGGCCAGCGAAGACAGAGGAGAUGUUUUGAAAUCUGAAGAGUCAAGGAGGAUAACUGCAGCACCGAAGGCCAGCAGGUUAACAGAGUGAGGUAGCCUGCUGCCCAAAGCAGCCUGGCCCAGCAUUCCACGGUGCUUCUGUCCCCUUUCCUUGUUCAUCUAUUCAAGAAUCAGAGGUUCAG
rnacentral:lncRNA from 1 species